rnacentral:rRNA from 1 species
UUCGCAAUGCCCGAAAGGGUGACGAAGCGACGCCGCGUGCGGGAAGAGGGCCUUCGGGUUGUAAACCGCUGUCGGGAGUUAAGAAAUGCAAGGAUGUUAAUAGCGUCUUUGCUUGACUAAGGCUCCGGAGGAAGCCACGGCUAACUCUGUGCCAGCAGCCGCGGUAAUACAGAGGCGGCAAGCGUUGUUCGGAAUUAUUGGGCGUAAAGAGCACGUAGGCGGCCGUGUAAGUCGGUUGUGAAAGCCUUCCGCUCAACGGGAGAACGGCAUCCGAUACUGCAUGGCUCGAGUGCGGGAGGGGAGAGUGGAACUUCUGGUGGAGCGGUGAAAUGCGUAGAUAUCAGAAGGAACACCGGCGGCGAAGGCGACUCUCUGGCCCGUAACUGACGCUGAGUGUGCGAAAGCUAGGGGAGCAAACGGGAUUAGAUACCCCGGUAGUCCUAGCCGUAAACGAUGGGCACUAAGUAGAGGGGUUUU